AUCUCUUUCCACCGAGCCACGCCUCGGAAAUUAGCUAGGUCAUCCAAGAUGGCGAUUUGCGGAAGAAAUUCUGCAGAAGUCAUCUUCUCAAUAAUUUUUGAAGGAGUAAUACGCAAAGAUAUACCAGACUAAAUGAAGGCAAAAGCAAUUCCAAUAGUUCAGAAGUAUUGCAGAGGAUCAGAAUUGAACGAUAUCUGGAUUGUAAUUACGUCCAAAGAAGAUAUAUGGAUUUCAACUAAGCUUAAUACGAUCAUUAAACAUUUGACAUCCAAAAUGAAACGCUCUUCCAUUGGUACAUCCUGUUUUUCCUCAAAUCCGACGAUUCGUUCUACUUGGAUAGUAGAAAUGUCGGAACGUCAACGAGCGUAGGAAAUGGAAACGUUUACCUCUUCAGUCUUAUAUUUCAAUGAGAUUUUAUCAUGGCGACUAGAAUAUUUCUAUAGUGGAACAUUAUUCGAGCAUAUUGAAGCAGAAGAGUGUUUCAAGAGGCAGUUGAAAAUUCUAACAAAGGAAGGAACAUCGUUAGCUAUUGUUCAUGUAUGCAUUAUGUGAUUGUGA